GAUUCGUCACACUAUCAUUAACUGAAUCCAUAGGUUAAUGAGGCGAACCGGGGGAACUGAAACAUCUAAGUACCCCGAGGAAAAGAAAUCAACCGAGAUUCCCCCAGUAGCGGCGAGCGAACGGGGAGGAGCCCAGAGCCUGAAUCAGCAUGUGUGUUAGUGGAAGCGUCUGGAAAGGCGCGCGAUACAGGGUGACAGCCCCGUACACAAAAGCGCAUGUGCUGUGAGCUCGAUGAGUAGGGCGGGACACGUGGUAUCCUGUCUGAAUAUGGGGGGACCAUCCUCCAAGGCUAAAUACUCCUGACUGACCGAUAGUGAACCAGUACCGUGAGGGAAAGGCGAAAAGAACCCCGGCGAGGGGAGUGAAAAAGAACCUGAAACCGUGUACGUACAAGCAGUGGGAGCACCCUUUGGGGUGUGACUGCGUACCUUUUGUAUAAUGGGUCAGCGACUUAUAUUCUGUAGCAAGGUUAACCGAAUAGGGGAGCCGUAGGGAAACCGAGUCUUAAC
rnacentral:rRNA from 1 species